rnacentral:rRNA from 1 species
ACCUACAAGUCGAGCAGGGUCGAAAGACGGACUUAGUGAUCCGGUGGUUCCGCAUGGAAGGGCCAUCGCUCAACGGAUAAAAGCUACCCCGGGGAUAACAGGCUUAUCUCCCCCAAGAGUUCACAUCGACGGGGAGGUUUGGCACCUCGAUGUCGGCUCAUCGCAUCCUGGGGCUGUAGUCGGUCCCAAGGGUUGGGCUGUUCGCCCAUUAAAGCGGUACGCGAGCUGGGUUCAGAACGUCGUGAGACAGUUCGGUCCCUAUCCGUCGUGGGCGUAGGAAAUUUGAGAGGAGCUGUCCUUAGUACGAGAGGACCGGGAUGGACAUACCUCUGGUGUACCAGUUGUCGUGCCAACGGCAUAGCUGGGUAGCUAUGUAUGGACGGGAUAAGUGCUGAAAGCAUCUAAGCAUGAAGCCCCCCUCGAGAUGAGAUUUCCCAACUUCGGUUAUAAGAUCCCUCAAAGAUGAUGAGGUGAAUAGGUUCGAGGUGGAAGCGUAGCGAUACGUGGAGCUGACGAAUACUA